rnacentral:rRNA from 1 species
UACGUAGGGGGCAAGCGUUGUCCGGAUUCAUUGGGCGUAAAGAGCUCGUAGGCGGCUUAGCAAGUCGGGUGUGAAAACUCCAGGCUCAACCUGGAGACGCCACCCGAUACUGCUAUGGCUAGAGUCCGGUAGGGGACCACGGAAUUCCUGGUGUAGCGGUGAAAUGCGCAGAUAUCAGGAGGAACACCAGUGGCGAAGGCGGUGCUCUGGGCCGGAACUGACGCUGAGGAGCGAAAGCGUGGGGAGCAAACAGG